AACUCCCUUAUUUUCGGAACGAUUCCACAAUGCCCCGGAUCAAGGAAAACAGAUUUGCAGCAAGCUUGCGCCGCCGAUCCUCCCUUAUCCUCCUAUGCCCCGAGUCCACACCGCCUCCGGUCGCCACCCGCGCUCAGCCGCCGCCGGCCUCCUCUGCUGGAUUCCAUGGCCAUGGACCAAAGUGUGAAUUGGAUGUUGGUGAUAGCUUCCCUCGCGACUGCCUGGAGGUGGGAUGAGCAAAUCCCGAAUCUCCUUACUGCCUGGACUGGAGAGUUGCAUCCAAUCAGGCCUCCUCCUCUCAACUAAGUGCCUCUUAACACAUGAGUUCUUGCACGGGAUGUGUUCGACAGUUUUUCUCUUAAGGAAGAAGUUGUAUGUUGCUAUGUUGUUUCAACCCUUGGGUAGCGUGCUUAUGAAAGUGAUUUUGUUCUUUCAAUCUAUGUGUUCUGAUGAAAGUGCAGGUGGAGGCGUGGAGCAUAGGAGCAUACAACUGAUUCUUUGGAACACCUGAUUCCUGUACACGUGCAAUCAUUUGUAGUGUUUGCUUACUGUUUUUUUGGACACCUGAUUCCACUACAUGUGCAAUCAUAUUUGUUAGGUACUUUUUGGAUAAGUACACACCCAGAUUUUGGGGAUUUGUAAUACGAGUGAGUUCAUGUGUUACUAGAAUUGUUGUACCUAAUCUGGUUUUGUUGGGGCUUGGUUUUGCUCUGAAAAAUAUAGGACAUCGGGCAUCAAAUUGUUUAAUCUUGUUCAUAUUUUAGUAUCGCGUUUCACAUGAACUAUUGAAAUUGUUCUGUACACACAAAAUAGUUGCUUAUUAGGAUCUAAGUGGCUGUUGUUCAUGUGGAAUUUAUAAUUCAGCAUCUUGAGAACUAUGACAUGUGUAGUCCUCUAAAGUGCAAGAAGAUUUAAAUUCCUAGAACUUAAUCAACUUAUAAAGUCAGAACAAUAUGGUUCCGGUAAUGUGACCGAGGAGAAAAACUGGCCUCUUUUUCAACCUGCACCAACAUUAAUAAUGGUGAAGUGUUACAUUAGGAGCCUAUCAUGGUUGGUUUAUCUUUUAUGUAAAUGAUAUGCGCUGCCUAGAACUGAUGCUAUAAAUUAUCAAUACCAUGUUUCUAGAUAGUACCAAAUUUUGUUAAAUUAUGAGUCUUUUCUUUUCUAAAAUCAAUCAUUCAUGCAUUUGCAAUGUGUCAAUCCUGGAUAUACUUUGGAUGUAAUUGCUAUUGUCGAGUUGGGUUAGAUUUGGAUUUAAUUGCUAAUGGUGAGUUGGCUUAGAGUUUCUAAGUCUCAAACUAGAAGCAGUACUACUUUACUAGAAGCAGUAAUACUUUAAUUUACACCAGUUUUUAACAGUAGUUGUGCGUUUGAGCCUUUCUACAGAAAUAAAAAUAGACUGCUUCAAUGCUUUAUUAACAAUGCCACCAACCAAGUUUAUUUCUUCUAACCUUAUAAUCCAGUAUUUCAUAUGCCAAUUGAUGCAAUGAUUGACAGUCUUCACGGGAAAAAAUGUCACAUGCCCUUUCAGGAAAACCAACAGAAGAUUUACCGGCGAACCCUCACUUUUAAGGCAAGUUCAUUGGAUGACUACCAUAUCAUUAGGUAACUUUUGGUUGCUCUGGUGAAAUUAGAUGGGAGAUGGCCAUCCAACUUUUAGAAGUCAUGAGUUUUUCCUUGAUUGGAUGGACUGGAUAGGUCUAUAUCCCAUUAAAUAUAAUAUAGCUCAAACAACCAGGGAAAAUCCAUGUGGUACAAAAAACUUGAGUGAGCUGAGCCAUUUCUUGCCUCCAGUUGUUCAAGUUAAAGAGGACACAUGUCUUUCUCUUAAAAAUGUCUCAUUUGGGCAUUCCUUGAACAACACCUUUUUAAAUCAUAAAAAUGGUCUUGGCCAAAUACUAGGUAGAGUAUUCAACAAUUCUCUACCUUCCAUAAGCUCUUCACAUGCACAUACCUCUGGUUCGUGUAACAUCUAUAAUUGAUGACUUCCAAUGAUUUUACACUACAGAAUUUAUUAAUUCAGAAUUUCCUUUACUUGCCACGGGUAACACUUAUAUGUUAUAGGGUAGACCAGUCCUGGUUGUAUUAAGUCACUAUAUGUCAUUGCAUUUAUACUACUCCCUCUGAUCCAAAAUAAGUGUUGUGGUUUUGUUCAAAUUGGUGUACCAUAUUUGAGAUAAAGGGUAUUUUUUUACAUACGAUGUCAUCAUCUCUUUAUAUCUUAUCAGCUUCUGGAAGUAUUGUCUGGAAUUAGACCCUAUUGCAAUCAGUUUGUGCACCUGCUCUGUUUUGUAUGCGGAGACAAACCUAACUGUAAUGUUGGACAUGCUAUGAGCACUCUAGGUCCAACAACCUGCACUGUAUCUGAAUAGAAGAAAAGAAUGAUUAAGAUAUCUGCAAGUUUUGGGGAAGUCCUCCAAAAGAACAGAGACCUCAUUCAAACAACAUUCUCCAUUGAGUCAACUUCGUCGCCAUGAUUUUUUUUAAAACAGAGGAUGGCAUUUGUCGGUAAGGUGAAUAUUUUCAAGAAGGACUUCCCUUUUUAUUUUAUUUUGCUUAUUAAACAUUCUCGAAGUGCUUACCAGAUAUGCUUACCAGUACCGGUAUUGCUUAUAAGAACUAAGCUACUAUAAGAAGGGUGGUCGUGCUUUUUGGAAUACAAACAUGCUUGAUUUGCUGUUAACAUUUCUUUGAUAAAUAGGUUUUUAUUGCAAAAUCUAGUGUGUGAGAGGCUAGGGAGCUGUGAUCUAGGAUGUUGAAGAAAAAGAUGGCAACUAAGGUCUUCAAUCCCUAUCAAAAAGUGGGCUCCAAUCAAAAGAAGAAUCAGUAGUUCAAGAUGGAAUUUAUUCUGCUUCAAAGUAGAUGGCAUUUAUUCAUUUUUGAGCAUUUAUGGUUUUGUGUGUAUAUUGAAUUAUUUUAUGAGUUGUGAUAUUUAUUUCUUAAACAAUAAGAAAUUCAAUUCAAAGGUCCACACUAAUGUGUGAGCAGGCGUCAUAUUGUGUGAAGCUUUUAGUUUAUCGGCAGUAGCAGUUGCAACAACAUUAUGUACGCAUAAUCUUUUUGUCUUGUGAUUUUACGUUCAGUUUAGUGACAUUGAUAUUUUAAUGGGUGGCAGCUUUUCAACCAUGAUAGGUUUCAAGAUUCUUUAACAACCAAUCCGAGCACCUAAUGGAGGAAAUAACACAUAUUAUUCUCUGUAUGCAACAACAUGACCACAGUUAUGUGUCACCUUCGAGAAUACAAAACAUGAGCGAGACAACGACAUAAUGUCUCCAUUUACCUUUUUGGGAACAUUUUCUUCGGUGUUCAUUUGAAUCUCAUUUAGCAAGGAGAACGUUUGAGACAUGCUUUGCACGUGCAAGCUUACUAGGUGAAUUCAAGCUAAAAUAUGAAUUGUACUAUUCUAACUAUAUUUUUUCAGAUCCAUUUUUCAGGAAAAUGGGCAUGAUAAGAUCAUUAUCUAAAUGCCAUGGGACGAGCCGUGAAUGGGACAUCAUUCCCUUUUGCUGCUUUAUUUUCAUUGUUGAUGAGUCCAAGGUCGUCCCGCUUCAGCAUCGUGUACAUGUUGGGACUCAUCGGCAAUGUGUUCGGCAAAUUGCUAGGCUUCCACGCCAAGACGCUAUCAAAUCUCUCCAUUUCUUGGAAAGAAGACUGCUGUUGUUGUCAGCUCUAUUCUUUCAUUGAUCCAAAGACCAGGUAUUAUCGCUAGAUACAUCAUAACAUUUUAGUGCUUUUUUCAUUGUGAAAAUUGCUUUGACAGGAAAGCUUUUUAUUGUGGGUUUCAUUUACUUAAAACAGGUUAUGAGUUUAAAACAACAUGGUGGGAAAUCUGAUUAUCUUGGCAGCACCAAAUGAAAAUCUCUGGUAGAAGUGAGGCUGAAAAAUGCAUGUAUGAUGUUCUGUACAUGAUUCCUAAGAAAGUUGACCCAUUUCUUUGAGGGUGAAAAACAUGUGAUAUAAACGCAAAUGAAGGUCAUUAUGGACUUUUAUUUGCAUUACUUAUGAAACUAUAGUUUUCCAUUAUAUGGCUCGAACAUGAGGGCACACAUAUAUGGAACUGCAAAUUACUACUCCUAUACGUCUUCCUUCAUCCCUUGUAGAAUUUAGUAAUAUAGCGGCUGGUCUGUUGAUUUAGUAUUUUCAAUCUUCUCUCCAGUUUAUGGAGUUACUUGAAGGCAUCCAAAAUCUGCUUAUUCGCUAUUGAUGAAGCGCAGUGCAUAUUGCAAUGGGGUCAUGAUUUCAGGUUAUUUGUUCAGCUAUUGUGUGAAUUAUUUCAGCUAAAGAGCUGACAAUUUACUUUCGUUUCAAUUUUUGAUAUGUCCUAUGCAUUUUGUUUGGAAAUUUUAUGUGUCUUGGUGCUAAAUGCAAAAGAUAUCGGUUCAUAUCAGCUAUCAAUUAUCGCUAGAUUGCUCUCACCCUUUAAUUAUGUGGUCAAAUUUGGCGACCUGUCGAGGAUGGUGAGUGCAGUGUGAUAGCUCUGCCUUUUACACUAAUCUUUUACCUAAAUUUUAUUUGAUAAACGGAUCGUUGCAGCAGACAGGUCUUCUCUCGACCCGCUAGGGUUUCUCUGGCGGCGCCGCCAGUGAUGCAGAGGAACAUAUAGAGGCCAAAGAAUUGCAAGCACAAUGGGGUACUUGGUUAGGAUGGAUGUCACGCGAGUAAGAAGCAACGCUCUGCCAGGCCACGUCCUGCGCAAGCGCCACGCCAACGCUUCAACGAACGCUGGUGAGCGCUAAUUGGCGUUGCCGUCAGGUGGGCAACAGUGUCAUGAUGUGCUCGGGUGCUCGGCGUACAGCCAUCGUGGCGAUGGCACAGUUGAGUCUGAGGUGGAGCAUCCACGGCGGCAUGGUCGCAGGCUCAUCUGGUUGUGUUGAAUCAGACACUGAUGGAGGUCGAAGGACGGGCAUAAACUGCAUCUCCACAUCACCCAACUCCCUACAUGACUCUUUGAUUUUGUUCGUCUAAAGAUGGAUUAUUUGACAGAUGUGUAAGUUGAUUGUUUACUUGCCUCACAGGCCUGACCUAUGCGUCCGUCGUAAUCUAUAAAUCGUGCCCAAAAGUGUCAUUCUAAUUACUUUUGUUCGACUAGGCAUUGAUUUUGUUAGCUCUCUGUUGUUCACACACGUCGGCAAAGUGUCCUGUUAGAAAAUUGUAGCUAUUUAGAAGAAAAAUAUGAUCUAUUUUAUGCACAUCAUCAGCUUUCUGUUAUGUAGAUUUUUAGAAUUUUAUCAUUUAUAUUUAGAUGUCCUAGCUUUUAGAGUAGCAGAAUAAGUUCAGUGCCAAUAAGUCCAUUCUCAAAAUUCAGUUUUUUCUCACGUAGUCGGGACAUUGCCCUGCUUCAGAGCUGAUAUUUCGGGGACCAGAGUGGACACCGUCAACUAGAUAUGUUCAGCUAUUCUUGUUGAGUUGCCUCUUGGACAGGUGUGUCUCUUUUUAUGAUGUUUUGUCAGAUUUCUUUUCACCUCCACACUAGCAGAUUACUUGGAGUUUGGGCUAAUCAUUUUCUUAUCACUCAGUAUUCUCAUCAUUUUCUUCUUAAUUAGUUUGGACUUUGUGUGUACCAAACAUGGUUAUCACUCUAUCCCUUGAGGGUGCAAUAAUAUUGUUCUCUAUCUGUACUGUAUUCCCUUGCAUCGUUGGUGUUUCUUUAUUGGAUACAUUGUCUUUUGGCGUUAUAUGGUUUUGUUAUCCUUUUUUGGUUUUGAUCAUUUUGUGAUUGCAGAUGAUGAUAAAGACAAAGAAAUGGUCUCUACACAUUGGCAUUAUUAUGCAGGGAUCAACAAGGGGCCUAUCUAGCGUGCUGACUUGGUGGUGUUCGAUACAAAAUUUGGUUUCGAUUCAUGCUACAUUCCUACGUAUCUUCGCACAACCAAUUGUUGUCUUUUCCUUGCCUUGUUUCUUUUAAUUUUAGCUAAGUUUUACAUAUGCUUUCUGCUGGAAAUAAAGUAUGCGAGAGCAGAUAGCUCCCAAACCAGCAAAGCACAAGAUGGUAUGUCAAGAAACUACAUACUUUCCCUGAAGCAUGGGUGAAGGGCAGAAACAUUUUUCAUUUCAGUUUGUAAUCAAUAUACCACUUCUAUCAAUCUUAUUUUAUGCGGAAGCAUUGUAUGUUGUUCUAUACAAAUAAGACACUAUUCUCUCUUUCUAUAUUCAUCAGAGUUAAUGUUUAUUUUCAUGUAGUUCUAAGGUACCACUUAAAUCCA